GUGACCAUGGUGUAAUGGCAGCACAAGGGUUUGUGGAGCCCUUCGAGGGAGUUCAAUUCUCCUUGGUCACCCCA
rnacentral:tRNA from 1 species